AGAAGGACGAACGUUAAGAAAGAAAAGUGAAAGACGCGAUAAUCAUAAUUAAAUAUAACAGAAAAAAAAAAGAGAUUUAAGAGCCGCCGGUCGAAUAAAAGCGAUAACAAUUCAGUGACGUAUAAAUAUUAGUACAGUUGUUAAGUGGGAAGGAUACGCCUCGCGGUUUUACGGCUUGCGUUGAAUCGGGGCGCAAUUUGGAACGAGGACAAGGAGAUCUCGUUGCUUCUAUGAAACUAUAUGUACACUCUUGCGUAGUUCGAUCGACCGAGUUAUUCGUAAAAUGUCUUCGUCUAUAUCUAACAAUUGGGAAAUUAUCUCCAAUAUUUGAGAAAAUGCAGACAGACAAAUUUGGAGUUAUAUGUAGCUUAAACAUCAUCCAGAAUCAUGUUAUAGAUCAUUUCGACUCACCUGGUGCUACGUAAAAGGCUAAGAUACUAAGACUCAAUAAUAUAAAUAAGAAAAUGAUUUAUAAUAGAAAUACCCUAAAGUAAUAAAAAUAAAAUUAAGCUUUAGAACUGAUUAUGGAAAACAUAUAUGAGGAAGAUUAUUGUCACAGAUCCCCUGGCAUCCUUCGAUUGCAUCCCUAUUCGAGUACCUUCUUUAGUAUGCUAUCGAAGCGAAACCUAUCACAAGAAAUUUCCUUUCAAACGUUUUACAUUUCCCCGCAGCUAAAACGCAAAGUUCACGAUUCGUCGAGAACUCAACGAAAUGAUAAAAAUAUCCAUACUCGAUACUUCCUUUGCUCGUGAGCUACUUUAGUUAGAUACUGCGCAUCGGAGGAGAUUACGUAAUAUACAAGACCUGCCACGACUUAUAACGCAAAGACACGUAAAUCGAUCGUGUCCUUUGAGAUAAAGUUUCAUCGGGAGAAAAGUGGGUCGUGAUUCUUACGUGUUUCACUCGCUCCACUUCGAAGCUAUAAUUUAAACGACAACCAGCGAUUCCAUCAUCUUCUUGCGUAACAAAUCUGUCAAGAAAAUGUACACUUGGCUUCUUUUAAUCGAAUAUUACUCACAGUCGAGGACUUCGUUUUCGAUGCUCUGCCAUUUUCUCGACCUCGUGCGCCAUGACACGAACAACGAUACAUUUCGCCGCUCCAUCUAAAUUUCGAGGUAUACUAUCCGCGUAUAUCUGUGCGUGGAUUCGCGCAAAAUCAUAGCGAGUGUCAACUAAAACGGUACGAGAGUGAAAAGAGGAUGUAGGCCAAGAGGUAGAAAGAAAAAGAUUGCGCACGACUAACCUUCCGGCAAGUGGAUACAAAAGGACACCGGGUGUACGCGGAGGUAAUUGAGAUGCGGAAGGUAACUGUUCAAAUACGAGAUCCUCGACAAUUUCAAUUAUUGUCUUUGAAAGUGUAUAGACAAAGAGCUGGGAACGCGAGUAUCGCAUACAUAUACGUAUUAUACGUGCAAGAGAUUUCGCGAUGAGAACGCACAAGGAAGAAUCGUUCUCAAUAAAGCGACAGAACCUGCUAAUUCAGAUGGAAGCGGCCGUUGAAUGCGUCCGUAUGGAUCGACUCGAUCUCGCAUUUUCGCAGCACCAGCUUCUGAAGAUUGACUAGAUGCACCCGACUGAACGAGUCGUGCAUCAGGUGCAUGAUACGAUUCCCGGUCAAAUCGAAGUUCU